GAGAGUUUGAUCCUGGCUCAGGAUGAACGCUAGCUACAGGCUUAACACAUGCAAGUCGAGGGGCAGCAUGGUCUUAGCUUGCUAAGGCCGAUGGCGACCGGCGCACGGGUGAGUAACACGUAUCCAACCUGCCGUCUACUCUUGGACAGCCUUCUGAAAGGAAGAUUAAUACAAGAUGGCAUCAUGAGUCCGCAUGUUCACAUGAUUAAAGGUAUUCCGGUAGACGAUGGGGAUGCGUUCCAUUAGAUAGUAGGCGGGGUAACGGCCCACCUAGUCUUCGAUGGAUAGGGGUUCUGAGAGGAAGGUCCCCCACAUUGGAACUGAGACACGGUCCAAACUCCUACGGGAGGCAGCAGUGAGGAAUAUUGGUCAAUGGGCGAGAGCCUGAACCAGCCAAGUAGCGUGAAGGAUGACUGCCCUAUGGGUUGUAAACUUCUUUUAUAAAGGAAUAAAGUCGGGUAUGGAUACCCGUUUGCAUGUACUUUAUGAAUAAGGAUCGGCUAACUCCGUGCCAGCAGCCGCGGUAAUACGGAGGAUCCGAGCGUUAUCCGGAUUUAUUGGGUUUAAAGGGAGCGUAGAUGGAUGUUUAAGUCAGUUGUGAAAGUUUGCGGCUCAACCGUAAAAUUGCAGUUGAUACUGGAUAUCUUGAGUGCAGUUGAGGCAGGCGGAAUUCGUGGUGUAGCGGUGAAAUGCUUAGAUAUCACGAAGAACUCCGAUUGCGAAGGCAGCCUGCUAAGCUGCAACUGACAUUGAGGCUCGAAAGUGUGGGUAUCAAACAGGAUUAGAUACCCUGGUAGUCCACACGGUAAACGAUGAAUACUCGCUGUUUGCGAUAUACUGCAAGCGGCCAAGCGAAAGCGUUAAGUAUUCCACCUGGGGAGUACGCCGGCAACGGUGAAACUCAAAGGAAUUGACGGGGGCCCGCACAAGCGGAGGAACAUGUGGUUUAAUUCGAUGAUACGCGAGGAACCUUACCCGGGCUUAAAUUGCAGAUGAAUUACGGUGAAAGCCGUAAGCCGCAAGGCAUCUGUGAAGGUGCUGCAUGGUUGUCGUCAGCUCGUGCCGUGAGGUGUCGGCUUAAGUGCCAUAACGAGCGCAACCCUUGUUGUCAGUUACUAACAGGUUCCGCUGAGGACUCUGACAAGACUGCCAUCGUAAGAUGUGAGGAAGGUGGGGAUGACGUCAAAUCAGCACGGCCCUUACGUCCGGGGCUACACACGUGUUACAAUGGGGGGUACAGAGGGCCGCUACCACGCGAGUGGAUGCCAAUCCCCAAAACCUCUCUCAGUUCGGACUGGAGUCUGCAACCCGACUCCACGAAGCUGGAUUCGCUAGUAAUCGCGCAUCAGCCACGGCGCGGUGAAUACGUUCCCGGGCCUUGUACACACCGCCCGUCAAGCCAUGGGAGCCGGGGGUACCUGAAGUGCGUAACCGCGAGGAGCGCCCUAGGGUAAAACUGGUGACUGGGGCUAAGUCGUAACAAGGUAGCCG
rnacentral:rRNA from 1 species